AUCUUGUCAACUUUUUGAGAUAAUCGGCGAACAAGUUUUCAUAGAAUGCGGACGCGGACCCGAACGCGAACGCGAACGACGCCAUACGCACAUCGCUAUUUUGCACAUUUUUCAUAGUAAACAACAUGUUUUUGGAGGCAGAUAGGUCUUGAUCGAUAGGAUUUGUUCCCAUCUACAUUGCCUAGUGUACAGAUAUGUGAUUUUUGAAGUUUGGCGUGACGUUAUAGUGGUCCGAAAGAGGAGAUGUCAUGAAAUUUUGGCUAGUAAAACUAAUACUUUACCUAACAAACAAAGUUUGCGGAAAAGUAAUUAUUCUUUCCCAAGCGGACGCAAUCUAUAGUGUGCAGUGAGUGACGGGAAGCCUGAGAGUAGGAUUCAACAUUGGUUUUGUAAUAAAGUCAUAAAUUAAAAUUCAUAUUGAUAUUUCGGAUCUGUAUAUACGCUGGUAUUUUUUGAGUGAAAAAGCAGAAAAAUAGAAGACAUCAUGCAUUCCAUCCUUCAGCGCCUGCGUACGACUCAUGCAAUUUUAAAAAUUCUAUGUUUGCUAUUUGCAUUCAUUACUUUCAUCUGCUUAAAAUUGAGUUCUUAUGGUGCAUUGCCUUCGAUUGAGUUCUAUUGGAUUAUGGCACUCAUCGUAAUGAUAAUUACACUUGUUUUCUUACUUGUCUAUCUAUUCACGAUUGAGAAGGCAAUACGAUUAAAUUGGGUGGAAAUUGAACUAAUUUUCGCCGGUAUAGCAUCACUGAUUUUCAUGUCAAUUUCAUCAUUAUUUGUAAAUAUUGAAUACGUCUUAUAUAAUGGUGCCGAUAUUCGAAAAAUAUCAACCGCUAUUCGAAUAGUAUCAGCUUGCUUUGGAUAUUUAGCAGUGAUAACAUUUGCUGUUGAGGCUUAUUUGAAACACAGGCAAGCAGUUUCAUCGAGGGUCUCUACAGUCACAAGUGCUUAGUCCGCAUAGUUUACUUUACUAGCAUUCAAAAAAUAUGACGAGACGAUGUUCGUUUGUGUUCACAGUUGUUUGCGGAGAAUAAAUUACCUUCAGUCAUUUUGUGUUUAUAACCAUAGACGUCAUGCUUUCCAUUCUUAUACGUUUACGCUCGAUUCCAGCCCUAUUGAAAAUCCUGUGCAUGAUUUUCGAGCUCAUUGCAUUCAUUUGUACGGUAGUGAGUGAAAAAAGUGUAGGAACAGUAGAGACUGCUUGUUUCAUUGCUGGUAUUGUGGUAUUCGGAAUUACAACACUUUUCGUGUUUCUGUUUCUAUUCCGAAUCGAUGAUUUUGUCACAUUGAACUGGGCAAAAAUCGAAAUGGUUUUUGCCUUAAUUGCAUCAUACACUUUUCUGCUGAUUUCAACGCUCAUCGUCCGAUACACCGACGAAUUUUUGAUUACAGCAUCGAUUUGUGGAUAUUUGGCAACGUUCACGCUUUUCUUGGAUAUGUGUCUAAUGUAUAGACUUGUUGUUUCUGGCGUAAACGCUUGGGGAAAAUAUUGAACCUAGUAUCAGUUUUCUUGAAAAAAUGUUUUUUUUUUAAAUUCAUGGAACCAAGGGGAGAUUCACGAGCAAUCGCACUCGCAAAACUCGCAAAAACUCGCAAAAAGGCGUAAAAAUUUGAAGUAGAUAUUUUCUUCAUUUUUUACCUUUUUUAAGCUAUAUAUCAGUUUAUAAAACUUGUCAGUCGAUCAAAAAUAUGAUUUUGAAUAAUUAAAUUAAUAUGUAAUAGGAAGCUCAAUGAAAAAUUGCAUUUUAUUGAUAUUUUUAAAAAAUUGUUCGAAUUAGAAAACUCACAAAAACUCGCAAAAACUCACACUUCUUUGUUUUCGUGAAUCGCCCCUUGCAUGGAACAAAUAUACAAAUCAUGAUUUUCGAUGUAAAUAACAAGCCCAGUGAAUGAACUCACUAUUAAAUUCUAACUUAUGGUAAAUAAUAAAUUGCACUGGAAAUGUCAA